GUGUACCUACGGGAGGCAGCAGUGAGGAAUAUUGGUCAAUGGGCUUACGCCUGAACCAGCCAAGUCGCGUGAGGGAAGACUGCCCUAUGGGUUGUAAACCUCUUUUGUCAGGGAGCAAUUGGCGCUACGUGUAGCGUUAUCGAGAGUACCUGAAGAAAAAGCAUCGGCUAACUCCGUGCCAGCAGCCGCGGUAAUACGUAGGUGGCAAGCGUUAUCCGGAAUGACUGGGCGUAAAGGGUGCGUAGGUGGUUUAGUAAGUUGGCGGUGUAAUUCCGGGGCUCAACCUCGGCGCUACCGCCAAAACU
rnacentral:rRNA from 1 species